rnacentral:lncRNA from 1 species
UUGAAGUUUUAAUUUGCAGGGUUAGAAACAUUUAUUUUAAUAAAUGACUAUAAUUGAACUGUACAGACCGGUAAUGCCCUGUAAUCCUGUUCCAGGGACGGAUAUGAGUUAGAGGGUGUUAUACGAACACUCGUCGAACACGCCAGAUACAUACAGGACACGCCAGAAUACAUAAAAAAAGUCAAACACGGUCACGAAACCAGUGUCUAAAGACAGACACAUGACAGAUGCAGGAAAAGUAGAUGGUGGCUGACGGACGGUGGCUGAAACUUUGUCGAAACGGCUGGUCUGUGCAAGUGUUUUUGGUGGGUAAACCCUAAAAACAAAAAAAGUAAUUUAUCAGAAGAAGUGAGUAAAGAGUUUGAAACUUAAAAAACCCUAACUAGCACUAACUAUUCAGAAAAGUCUGUUGGACUUGGACUUAUUCUUAGGCCCUAAAGCUAAACCCAUGAUGGGCGGUGGUCGGAAGCCUACUGUCUUUGCAUAAAUCUUUAUUUCGUUCUUUCAAUUUAUCUCUGUAGAUUAUUAACAACUUGGAAUUUUCUCCGUUUGUCGUUUCUAAUGCAAAUAUUGUCUAGGUUUUCUAUUGAAGGCUUAACUAUUACUAAAUUCUCUAACUUUACCAACUUCAAAUUUAGAUUUGAUAUGACAUGAAGCAUUUUAACAUAAUAUAUAUAAAUAUUAAAAAUAUUUUUUUAUUGCUAUAUCUAUGUCCUCAAUUUUUAAAAAUUAUCGUGUCCCUGUAUCUGUAUUGUGUCGUACCUGUAUUGUGUGUCUGUGACAUAAAAAAUAUAUAUAAAUAUUAAAAAUAUUUUUUUAUUGCCGUAUCUGUGUCCUCAAUUUUUAAAAAUUAUCGUGUCCCCAUAUCUGUAUUGUGUUGUACCUGUAUUGUGUGUCCGUGUCCAUGCUUCAUAGCAUAGAACAUAGCGAAAAUCAGCCCGGGGAACUAGCGAUUGAUACCAUGAAAGAAUAGCAAACAAACUAACUAUACUAACUUUCUGAAUUAACUUGUG